rnacentral:lncRNA from 1 species
UCCUGCUGGGUGAAGUUGUAAGUCCUGCCCUAGAUAAAAGGUCUUCCCUGACUCUGGUUCCUUGGGCACUCUCUUGUAUAGUGUUGGGCACUACCACAUAUGCGACAGGUGUUGUUGAGGCAGUAGUAUGGUCGGUCCCCGUGAUCCCUGCCGCAAUGCUAAUAGAUCUUACCAUGUCCUGCCACUGGAGCCUAAGGGGGAGCCUGGAUCACCGGUCUGGGUCUCUUGUUCUGUUGGACAAGCGCAGUAGGUGCUGGUCUGCGGGGUGGAGCUGAGGGUCUAUGGUUCCCUGCUGACUGAGGGAGGGGGUGGAGGCUCCUCUCUACUAACUGUGUCUUGGCCAGAACAGCCGAGUAUGUCCUGAGCUCCAGUACAAAUAAAUGCUGUUUGAUCUUUGGGCGGAGGCCCCACUGGAACCUCCUAGCCUUCCUGCCCUCAUCCAUCAACGUCUCAGAGGAGUAUCAGCCCAACUCUAGGAACUUACGAGCAUAUUCUGACACCAUCAUGUUCUCCUAGACCAACUUGAUAAACUCCAUCUUUUUCAGAUGUCGAAUGUGCUCUGGGAGAUAUUCUGCAUGAAAGGCUGCUAAGAACUGUUCCCAAGUAACUAGAACAGACAGGGUGGUCUGCUUGAGUUCCCAUCAGCGGUCUGCUUCUCCCACCAGCAUGUAGGUAGCAAGGGUAACCCUCUGCUCGGGAGUCACUCCUAGGGUCUUGAAGGCCUUCUCCGUCUCUGCCAACCAGUACUGGGCAUCUUCAAAAGAGGAUUCUCCUGUAAAAGUAGAUGGGUUCAGUCUCAUGUACCUCUCUACGUAGCUUGGGUCAAUCAUGGAAGGAGUUGGGUCCCGCAGAAGAAGGACUGAGCCAGGCUGAGGAUAGACUGGGGGGACCCUGUGGUGGUACUUGCUGAUAUGGUGGGGGUACUAGAUUAUAUUGUGGCGGUGCCGGGCAGUACUAUGGCUGGGACACCGGAUUAUACUGCGGCGGUGGCACCAGGUGGUACUGUGGAGGAGUAGACUCGUACCAGGGUGGUUCAGGAUCCUCUCGCUGUAGUGGUGGCUCAACCUGUGGCAGCGGGGGAGGGUCAGGUAGCUCCCUUCUCUCAUCUCGGCCCUGUUGAGUAGCAAUGAGUCUCUCCAGCAUCUCAAAUAUCUUGUCAACGUCUUUUCGAAGCGAACCA